rnacentral:antisense_RNA from 1 species
UGUAGAAAAGAAUAUUUUAUUGAAACAGUUUCUCAAUUAACAAUGGAGCAAAGUACAAUUUGACUCAAUCCUGUCCAACCAGCAUCAACAGCUACUGAAAGAAUUCAAACAUACAGAAGAGGUGGGGGUGGGGUGAGGGGUGGGACCCUUAGGUCCCAUCUCUGCCAAUGUGGCAAAAAAAAAAAAAAAAAAAAAAAAAGGAAAAGACAAAAUGACUGACACAGCCAGGUUCAUUCUUGUCUUGGAGCUGAGGCAGCAGCCCUAGCUCCUGCUACAGACGGAAUACUGGAGGACGGGCUCCCUAGGCGUAGGCAUGGUGGGUCGGGGGCCCCCAACCUAGCAGAGCGAUGCACAGAGGAAGGCCAGCCCUGACCCUCCUCCUUCAUCCACAGGCCUGCCUCAGAGAGAGGGAGGUGGCAUCUCUACAUUCACACCAUGGUCUCUCCUUUCCCCAGGAUCUUGGGAUAGGGGCUCACAGUAGAAAGCACAUUUUGGUCAGCCCAGGGGGUCAGGGGGUGAGGGAAAGGCUCUGUCUGGGAGGAGCAGAACAGCAGAAGAGAGGAGGAGAACAGUUUCCAUUUUUAACCACAGAGGUACUGCAGAAGGAACCAGUGAGCUGUCCCUCCCUUCCCCUUCUCCACACCUCCAAAUCACGGGGGUGAGAAAGGAACUCCAG